rnacentral:tRNA from 1 species
CUGUGGCUCAAAGGAUAGGGCGCCGGCCUCGUGUGCUGGAGGUGGGGGGUUCAAACCCACCCCAG